UAGCACAUACCCAUAGAAAUUACAGUUAUAGCAGCAUGGGAAAUCUGUAGCCAGAAUGAUGUGUUUUAUUCAGCAGUUCCAGAUUUUCUGGUUAAGAGAACUCAGAAAAAAGUCAGCCUUAAAAAAUAUGAAGAGAGAUCAUGAAGUAACAAUUUUGUCAUUGUUUGCUGUACACUUUCUCUGGCUCCCCAGGUACUCAACGAGCAUCACAAGCUGGGUGACACCGAGCUCAGCACUGGCACGAUGUGGACAUGCACAAAACAUGCACAAAAAGGGAGCACAACAUCACUGCAGGCUAAACCUCCGUGGCCGUGGCACACACGUGGAGAGGCAUCUCCUCUCUGGGAAGAUCAAACCCUUGGAUGCAAGACAAUUUCCUUUUCAGAGGCCAAGUCCCCACUUGAGACUGCAGGACUUAUUUCCCCAGUAGGAAUUGGUGGAGGAUCAUCACUACAUUAAGGAUCAAUUUUAAAAGGGCAUGUUUAAACAUCACAUGUUCUGAAGUAUGUUGAAAGAAUUUAGAUCCCCCUUUCUUUAUGUCUAAAAAUAUGCAGUGACAUUUGAAAGAAGGAAGUAUGGUCCAAAUAUAGAUGUGGGAGAUUUCAGUAUUGUCAUCUUGUGCUGUUAAAAACUAUGAUGAAAUAACCAAACAUCCAUUAUUCCAUAUACAGAGAGCCAUUACCAGAAACUGAGCAAUUACAGAACACUGCAUAUUUUCCACACAUUCAGGGCAUGAUUUUGAUGUCGUUGUUCAUGUUUAACAGUGCUUCACUUCUUGAGUAGCUCCACUUAUGUCAGUAAUAGCAUUCAUGCAAUAUGAAUAAACAUGACCUAAAGUUGCAUUAUUUUUAA
rnacentral:lncRNA from 1 species